CCUACGGGAGGCAGCAGUGGGGAAUAUUGGACAAUGGGCGAAAGCCUGAUCCAGCCAUGCCGCGUGUGUGAAGAAGGCCUUCGGGUUGUAAAGCACUUUCAUUGGGGAAGAACGCCUUUGGGCUAAUACCCUCGAGGAAGGACAUCACCCACAGAAAAAGCACCGGCUAACUCCGUGCCAGCAGCCGCGGUAAUACGGAGGGUGCGAGCGUUAAUCGGAAUUACUGGGCGUAAAGCGCGCGUAGGCGGUCUGAUAAGCCGGUUGUGAAAGCCCCGGGCUCAACCUGGGAACGGCAUCCGGAACUGUCAGGCUAGAGUGCAGGAGAGGAAGGUAGAAUUCCCGGUGUAGCGGUGAAAUGCGUAGAGAUCGGGAGGAAUACCAGUGGCGAAGGCGGCCUUCUGGACUGACACUGACGCUGAGGUGCGAAAGCGUGGGUAGCAAACAGGAUUAGAUACCCGAGUAGUC
rnacentral:rRNA from 1 species